GCUAUUUAUGGACAGAAGUCUGUCUUGCGCCAUGGCAAGACGUGUAGGUCUGUGCAGCCCCAUCUCCGAACACCUCAUAAUCUGGAGCCAGCACUUCAUCUUCACGUGGAUAAAAAAACAUAUUCUUUAAUAGAAAUUCCUAAGAAGGUUCUGAUGUCAAAGAAGGAGGCCUCUCCAUUAAAAUAAGGAUCCACAGUCUCCAACAGACCCUAGUUUAUGCCUCCACUCUGGGGGUCAUCUUGUCUCAUGAAAUAUGAAGGGAGAGUAGUUUGUCUGGAGGAUGUGGGCCCAGGACUGGAAAACAUCACCCGUACUCUUCAAUGCCAAGUUGGGAUCAAAAGGUGAACUGUUGCAUCUAACAUGCAUGUUACCUACAAGUUGAACAAAGGACUGCAACGAAUCAUAAGACCGUGAGAAUGAGGAGUCAGUGUUAGCUGCUCUCCUGGUACCUCUUUUCUGUGCAAAUGACCCUGGACCUCCACCCUGCGAUCCAGAACUCCAGACUUGAAUUUACACCUGCAUCUUGGACACUUUCAGUCUUAAGGAAGUUCCAUGAAAAAUUUCUCAAGGAUAGAUCAUUUGCUUUGUGCAACUGGCCUCAUCCCUAGCAAGGCAUGUCAAGGAACUGUUUCGUUCUGGUGUUUUCCAUUUCUUCCUGCAUGGAGCUUGAAUUUAAUAACACAGUCUUCCUGCCAUCUUUGAAUCUGUGGUCAGGUUUCCCACUGUGAUCAGACACAUCUUGGAUGAAUCUGGAGCACCCCAGAGCCUGGGAACGGUGGAGGAGCCCUGUCAGACCAGAACUGAGUAUCAAUGAAUUGUCUUGAAGUCCUUCCCUCCCAAGAUUUCUCUGAGUAACCCUAACCCACUCUCUUCUAAGAGUAUGUGCCUUGAAUGAAUGGAAGAAAACGCCUUCUGUGUGGACUAGAUAAGAGUGCCCUCUUCUGAGCAGACAUGGCCCCUGGGGGCCACAGUUUUGACACAUGGACCACAUCUCUGUAUGAAGAAAAGGCCAGGCCUUGAGGUGACAUACACCACUUCUGCCCAGAUUCGGCUGGCUUGAACUCGGUCCUGUGACCACGCCCACCCGCAUGGGAGGCUGGGCAGGUACUCCAGGUGUGUUCCCAGGAAGAAGAGGAAAGAAGGUGUCAAAGGAAGCCUAAGGAGACAUGACAGCUAAACAUAAUGUAUUCUGGAUGGGAUUUUGGAACAGAAGGAGGACAGCAGGCAAAAACCUAAAGGAAUCUAAAUAAAGCAUGGACUUUGGUUAAUAAUAAGCAGGGAAGAUGGAGACCUGCAGAGCUGAGCCAUGGCCCAGAGGAGCCAUUACAGUGUGUCCAUGAGAGAAAAAGAGAGAAUGAGAGAGAGCACAAGCAGGGGG